rnacentral:rRNA from 1 species
UACGUAGGGUGCGAGCGUUAAUCGGAAUUACUGGGCGUAAAGGGCUCGUAGGCGGCCAACUAAGUCAGACGUGAAAUCCCCAGGCUCAACCUGGGAACUGCGUCUGAUACUGGAUGGCUUGAAUCCGGGAGAGGGAUGCAGAAUUCCUGGUGUAGCGGUGAAAUGCGUAGAUAUCAGGAGGAACACCUGUGGCGAAAGCGGCUCACUGGACCACAACUGACGCUGAGGCGCGAAAGCUAGGGGAGCAAACAGG